AGUGAACGCUGGCGGUACGCCUAACACAUGCAAGUCGAACGGCAGCACAGGAGAGCUUGCUCUCUGGGUGGCGAGUGGCGGACGGGUGAGGAAUACAUCGGAAUCUGCCCAGUCGUGGGGGAUAACGUAGGGAAACUUACGCUAAUACCGCAUACGACCUUCGGGUGAAAGAGGGGGAUCGCAAGACCUCUCGCGAUUGGAUGAGCCGAUGUCAGAUUAGCUAGUUGGCGGGGUAAUGGCCCACCAAGGCGACGAUCCGUAGCUGGUCUGAGAGGAUGAUCAGCCACACUGGAACUGAGACACGGUCCAGACUCCUACGGGAGGCAGCAGUGGGGAAUAUUGGACAAUGGGCGCAAGCCUGAUCCAGCCAUACCGCGUGGGUGAAGAAGGCCUUCGGGUUGUAAAGCCCUUUUGUUGGGAAAGAAAUCUUUCAGGCUAAUACCCUGGGAGGAUGACGGUACCCAAAGAAUAAGCACCGGCUAACUUCGUG
rnacentral:rRNA from 1 species